AUCAACUUCGUCUCGGUCUUAGGAGCACGGCUUUAAAGUUCCAGACAGAUUUGUAAAUAUUUAACGAGUUUUAACCUAACAACCUAUUAACCUUGAGUGAACCUAACCAGAAGCAAACAAAACUAAAGCUGUUAGCUUGUGGUGCGCUUGAUCUAUGAGAAGCCUUUGUUGGCCAUGUGAUGAUUUUGUUUGACCUCAUCAAACCCUACAGAUGAGCGGCUCCAGGUGUUACUGCUGUUUACAAAGACCGAGGAGGGUGAGCCCUUUAUGGUGAAGGGUGAAACGAGGUCAUCUGCCAAACAUUUACAGCCCAGAUGAACUGUUUAUAGAGAUACGGAGGCUUUAUCACCAAG